UUAAUUCUCGAUUUAACCAAUUGAACAAGUGGGUUGGAUCAAAUUUUCACAACCUUAGUUUUAGCUGAAGUUGUAAGGAUAUCUUAAUUCAAAGCAGUCACAUAUUUUCAUAUUUUGUCCAACUGUAAUUUUUCAUUUAAUUGGGCACACGCCAUGUUUUGGAUCGGAUGCACCCCUCUCCUCAUCGCCUUCAGCGUGUUCGACACCGUGCUCACCAGAACCUCCCACUGGGACUGCAAAUUAAACGUUAUCAGGCUACCGCGACGAAAUAGAAUUUUAUUUUUAAUUUUUAUGUUUUAAUCCAUGCUCGUGUAAUUUUGACAGUUUUGUAUAAAGCAGGAAACUAAGUGUUCAUUUUUUUAUAGCUAAGAGAGGCCUUCAUCAAUGGGAAUGUGGAUGCAUGAAUGCCAUUGUGGAGCAUCAUCUACUUCAUUUGAUUGUUUAGGGUUUCUUGUUAUUUCCUUAAUAUUCAAAUUUCUGUUAAUUAAUUUUCUAUUCAACCUCCCACACCACCCGUCUCGCCAUUGGCUCCUCUUAUUCCGAAAUGGGCGCUUCACCUGAGCCCAUCAAUUUCAAGUUUGUUUCUCUUCUUCUAACAAGCUGUUUGUAGAAAUGCUUCUGUGGAACUAAGACGAUAAUAGUAAUAAUAAUAAUUGUUUGUUAUAGCUAAAAUAAAUAAAAUUUGUUGGCAAGAAGUCCAAGAUUCCGUCCAUGUCUCACUUGAGACUCUCAAUGAACGAAAGUAGCAGGUCAUCAUUUAAAUGACGAAGGGUUUUGCUCAAAGUUAGCAGAGAAGCACUUGCUGGAGACCACUCUCAGAACAUUGACCCUAAGAUAACCAUGGCCAUUGCAAGGGAGGUGGCAGCAGUGACUCGCCUUGGCAUUGAGGUGACUACAAUGGAUUCUUUUAUGUAACAUUGGGAGACUUUAUGAUAUCACUGCAAGUUAGAACAUUUGACCUGAAGUUAUUCAAAGCUUUUUACUGGUUUUCAGACUUUGGUUUAAACAAUUAGGCUGAUGUUUCAAGUUGCACUGGUAGU